AGGGUGAAGGGGUUGCAAUAAACUGGUGGCUGCGACUGUUUAAUAAAAACACAGCACUCUGCAAACACGAAAGUGGACGUAUAGGGUGUGACGCCUGCCCGGUGCCGGAAGAUUAAAUGAUGGGGUGCAAGCUCUUGAUUGAAGUCCCGGUAAACGGCGGCCGUAACUAUAACGGUCCUAAGGUAGCGAAAUUCCUUGUCGGGUAAGUUCCGACCUGCACGAAUGGCGUAACGAUGGCCACACUGUCUCCUCCCGAGACUCAGCGAAGUUGAAGUGUUUGUGAUGAUGCAAUCUACCCGCGGCUAGACGGAAAGACCCCAUGAACCUUUACUGUAGCUUUGCAUUGGACUUUGAACCGAUCUGUGUAGGAUAGGUGGGAGGCUAUGAAACCGGAACGCUAGUUUCGGUGGAGCCGUCCUUGAAAUACCACCCUGGUUUGUUUGAGGUUCUAACCUUGGCCCGUGAUCCGGGUCGGGGACAGUGCAUGGUAGGCAGUUUGACUGGGGCGGUCUCCUCCCAAAGCGUAACGGAGGAGUACGAAGGUACGCUAGGUACGGUCGGAAAUCGUGCUGAUAGUGCAAUGGCAUAAGCGUGCUUAACUGCGAGACCGACAAGUCGAGCAGGUGCGAAAGCAGGUCAUAGUGAUCCGGUGGUUCUGUAUGGAAGGGCCAUCGCUCAACGGAUAAAAGGUACUCUGGGGAUAACAGGCUGAUACCGCCCAAGAGUUCAUAUCGACGGCGGUGUUUGGCACCUCGAUGUCGGCUCAUCUCAUCCUGGGGCUGUAGCCGGUCCCAAGGGUAUGGCUGUUCGCCAUUUAAAGAGGUACGUGAGCUGGGUUUAAAACGUCGUGAGACAGUUUGGUCCCUAUCUGCCGUGGGCGUUGGAUAUUUGAAGGGGGCUGCUCCUAGUACGAGAGGACCGGAGUGGACGAACCUCUGGUGUACCGGUUGUCACGCCAGUGGCAUCGCCGGGUAGCUAUGUUCGGAAGAGAUAACCGCUGAAAGCAUCUAAGCGGGAAACUCGCCUUAAGAUGAGAUAUCCCUGGAGGCUAGACCUCCUUGAAGGGUCGUUCGAGACCAGGACGUUGAUAGGUCAGGUGUGUAAGCGCAGUAAUGCGUUCAGCUAACUGAUACUAAUUGCCCGUAAGGCUUGAUCCUAUAACA
rnacentral:rRNA from 1 species